UGAAAUUUUAACGGCCGCAGUAUCUUAACUGUGCUAAGGUAGCAUAAUCAUUAGUUCCUUAAUUAGGAACUCGUAUAAACGAUUCGACGAGAUUCUUACUUUCUUAAAAAUUUUUAAAAUUUCUUUAAAGGUAAAAAAGCCUUUAUAUUUCAGAUGGACGACAAGACCCUAUAAAACUUUACUCUAAAAAGAUCUAUCUUCUUCAGAUAAUUUUAACUUCUUCCUAGAGUUUUGCUGGGGCGGCAUUUUCUAACAAAAACAGAUUUUAACCAAACAAAUUAUUUGACUCUUACCAACACUUCAUGUACUUAAGACCAAGUUACUUUAGGGAUAACAGCGCAAUGUAUUUUUAGAGCCCUUAUCGACAAACACGUUUACGACCUCGAUGUUGAAUUGAAAUUUCUA
rnacentral:rRNA from 1 species